UACGUAGGGUGCAAGCGUUGUCCGGAAUUAUUGGGCGUAAAGAGCUCGUAGGCGGCGUGUCGCAUCGGCUGUGAAAACCCGAGGCUCAACCUCGGGCCUGCAGUCGAUACGGGCAGGCUAGAGUUCGGUAAGGGAGACUGGAAUUCCUGGUGUAGCGGUGAAAUGCGCAGAUAUCAGGAGGAACACCGGUGGCGAAGGCGGGUCUCUGGGCCGAAACUGACGCUGAGGAGCGAAAGCGUGGGGAGCGAACAGG
rnacentral:rRNA from 1 species